ensembl:snRNA U6 U6 spliceosomal RNA
AUGCUAGCUUUGGCAACACGCAUACUAAAAUUGGAACAAUACACAGAAAAUUGGCAUGGGCCCUGUGGAAGGGUAACACACAAAUUCAUGAAGCAUUCCAUACUUUU